GUGCCAGCCGCCGCGGUAAAACGUAGGUCCCGAGCGUUGUCCGGAAUUACUGGGCGUAAAGGGCGUGUAGGCGGCCUUUCAAGUCUGCUGUGAAAGUCCCCGGCUCAACCGGGGGAUUGCAGUCGAAACUGGGGGGCUUGAGUGCAGGAGAGGAGGGUGGAAUUCCCAGUGUAGCGGUGAAAUGCGUAGAUAUUGGGAGGAACACCAGUGGCGAAGGCGACUACCUGGACGAUAACUGACGCUGAGGCACGAAAGCUAGGGGAGCAAACAGGAUUAGAUACCCUGGUAGUCCUAGCCGUAAACGAUGGGUACUAGGUGUGGGUGGUUUCGAUACCAUCCGUGCCGUAGUUAACGCAUUAAGUACCCCGCCUGGGGAGUACGGGCGCAAGCAUGAAACUUAAAUGAAUUGACGG
rnacentral:rRNA from 1 species